rnacentral:rRNA from 1 species
GCUGGCGGCAUGCCUAACACAUGCAAGUCGAACGGAAACGAUGGAGAGCUUGCUCUCCAGGCGUCGAGUGGCGGACGGGUGAGUAAUGCAUAGGAAUCUGCCCAGUAGCGGGGGACAACUCGGAGAAAUCCGAGCUAAUACCGCAUACGCCCUACGGGGGAAAGCGGGGGACCUUCGGGCCUCGCACUAUUGGAUGAGCCUAUGUCUGAUUAGCUUGUUGGUGGGGUAACGGCCUACCAAGGCGACGAUCAGUAGCUGGUCUGAGAGGACGAUCAGCCACACUGGGACUGAGACACGGCCCAGACUCCUACGGGAGGCAGCAGUGGGGAAUAUUGCACAAUGGGCGAAAGCCUGAUGCAGCAAUGCCGCGUGUGUGAAGAAGGCCUGCGGGUUGUAAAGCACUUUCAGUUGGGAGGAAAAGCAAUGGGCCAAUACCCCGUUGUCUUGACGUUACCUACAGAAGAAGCACCGGCUAACUCUGUGACAGCAGCCGCGGUAAUACAGAGGGUGCAAGCGUUAAUCGGAAUUACUGGGCGUAAAGCGCGCGUAGGCGGUUUGGUCAGUCGGAUGUGAAAGCCCCGGGCUUAACCUGGGAAUUGCAUUCGAUACUGCCA